rnacentral:rRNA from 1 species
UCCAGACUCCUACGGGAGGCAGCAGUGGGGAAUAUUGCACAAUGGGGGAAACCCUGAUGCAGCGACGCCGCGUGAGUGAAGAAGUAUUCCGGUAUGUAAAGCUCUCUCAGCAGGAAAGAAAAUGACGGUACCUGACUAAGAAGCCCCGGCUAACUACGUGCCAGCAGCCGCGGUAAUACGUAGGGGGCAAGCGUUAUCCGGAUUUACUGGGUGUAAAGGGAGCGUAGACGGUGAAGCAAGUCUGAAGUGAAAGGCGGGGGCUCAACCCCCGGACUGCUUUGGAAACUGUUUGACUGGAGUGCAGGAGAGGUAAGUGGAAUUCCUAGUGUAGCGGUGAAAUGCGUAGAUAUUAGGAGGAACACCAGUGGCGAAGGCGGCUUACUGGACUGUAACUGACGUUGAGGCUCGAAAGCGUGGGGAGCAAACAGGAUUAGAUACCCCGGUAU